rnacentral:rRNA from 1 species
CCUACGGGAGGCAGCAGUGAGGAAUAUUGGUCAAUGGGCUUACGCCUGAACCAGCCAAGUCGCGUGAGGGCAGACUGCCCUAUGGGUUGUAAACCUCUUUUGUCAGGGAGCAACGCCGGCUACGUGUAGCCGGACUGAGAGUACCUGAAGAAAAAGCAUCGGCUAACUCCGUGCCAGCAGCCGCGGUAAUACGGAGGAUGCGAGCGUUAUCCGGAUUGAUUGGGUUUAAAGGGUGCGUAGGCGGAAUGCCAAGUCAGCGGUAAAAUCGCGGGGCUCAACCUCGCUCCGCCGUUGACACUGGCGUUCUUGAGUGGGCGAGAAGUAUGCGGAAUGCGGGGUGUAGCGGUGAAAUGCAUAGAUAUCACGCAGAACUCCGAUUGCGAAGGCAGCAUACCGGCGCCCAACUGACGCUGAAGCACGAAAGCGUGGGUAUCGAACAGGAUUAGAUACCCCAGUAGCC